CCUACGGGUGGCAGCAGUGAGGAAUAUUGGUCAAUGGGCGGAAGCCUGAACCAGCCAAGUAGCGUGAAGGAUGACUGCCCUACGGGUUGUAAACUGCUUUUAUACGGGAAUAAAGUGCCUCACGUGUGGCGUUUUGUAUGUACCUUAUGAAUAAGGAUCGGCUAACUCCGUGCCAGCAGCCGCGGUAAUACGGAGGAUCCGAGCGUUAUCCGGAUUUAUUGGGUUUAAAGGGAGCGUAGGUGGCUUGUCAAGUCAGUUGUGAAAGUUUGCGGCUCAACCGUAACAUUGCAGUGGAUACUGGCGGGCUUGAGUACACGGGAGGCAGGCGGAAUUCGUGGUGUAGCGGUGAAAUGCUUAGAUAUGACGAAGAACCCCGAUUGCGAAGGCAGCUUACUGGAGCGGAACUGACGCUGAUGCUCGAAAGUGUGGGUAUCGAACAGGAUUAGAUACCCCUGUAGUC
rnacentral:rRNA from 1 species